rnacentral:rRNA from 1 species
UACGUAGGCAGCGAGCGUUGUUCGGAGUUACUGGGCGUAAAGAGUGCGUAGGCGGUUUUCUAAGUUUGGUGUGAAAUCUCCCGGCUUAACUGGGAGGGUGCGCCGAAAACUGGAAGGCUUGAGUAUGGGAGGGGUAAGCGGAAUUCCUGGUGUAGCGGUGAAAUGCGUAGAUAUCAGGAGGAACACCUGCGGUGUAGACGGCUUACUGGACCAUAACUGACGCUGAGGCACGAAAGCGUGGGUAGCAAACAGG